rnacentral:pre_miRNA from 12 species
AUCGAGCGACGUGAUUUAGCCUCUCCUAGGCUUUGUCUGUCAGUGAAAAAACGAGACAUAGCCUAGAAUAGGUUAGGUCGGGGCUCGUUCA